rnacentral:rRNA from 1 species
GAUGAACGCUAGCGGGAGGCUUAAUACAUGCAAGUCGAGGGGUAACAGGGGCUUCGGCCCGCUGACGACCGGCGCACGGGUGAGUAACGCGUACGCAACUUACCUCCAAGCGAGGGAUAGCCCUGGGAAACUGGGAUUAAUACCUCAUGUGAUUAUGAUGCCGCAUGGUGUUAUAAUUAAAGUUCAGGCGCUUGGAGAUGGGCGUGCGUCCUAUUAGCUAGUUGGUGAGGUAACGGCUCACCAAGGCGACGAUAGGUAGGGGGCGUGAGAGCGUGGCCCCCCACACGGUACGUGAGACACGGACCCGACUCCUACCGGAGGCAGCAGUAAGGAAGUAUUGGACGAAUAGGGCGGCAAGACCUCGA